CAGGACUCGCAAGACUCCUACAACCCUGUGAACUUAACUAUAAGCACGUUGCUUCGGCGGGUGUCUCGGCGAGGGUUCUCCCUCCCCGGGGCGCUAAGCCCGCCGGCAGCCUACUAUACUCUGCCUCUUUGCGUUGGCAUCUCGAGUACAAUCAAACAAGUUA
rnacentral:misc_RNA from 1 species